rnacentral:rRNA from 1 species
CCUACGGGAGGCAGCAGUGGGGAAUAUUGCACAAUGGGGGAAACCCUGAUGCAGCGACGCCGCGUGAGUGAAGAAGGAUCUCGGUACGUAAAGCUCUAUCAGCAGGGAAGAAAAUGACGGUACCUGACUAAGAAGCCCCGGCUAACUACGUGCCAGCAGCCGCGGUAAUACGUAGGGGGCAAGCGUGAUCCGGAUUUACUGGGGGUAACGGGAGCGUAGACGGCAGCACAAGUCUGGAGUGAAAUCCGGGGGCUUAACCCCGGAACUGCUUUGGAAACUGUGCGGCUGGAGUGCAGGAGGGGUAAGCGGAAUUCCUCGUGUAGCGGUGAAAUGCGUAGAUAUUAGGAGGACCACCGGUGGCGAAGGCGGCUUACUGGACUGUAACUGACGUUGAGGCUCGAACGCGUGGGGAGCAAACAGGAUUCGAUACCCUAGUAGUC